rnacentral:rRNA from 1 species
GACGAACGCUGGCGGCGUGCUUAACACAUGCAAGUCGAACGGUAAGGCCCUUCGGGGUACACGAGUGGCGGACGGGUGAGUAACACGUGGGUGAUCUGCCCUGCACUUCGGGAUAAGACUGGGAAACUGGGUCUAAUACCGGAUAGGACCCUGGGAUGCAUGUCCUGGGGUGGAAAGCUUUUGCGGUGUGGGAUGGGCCCGCGGCCUAUCAGCUUGUUGGUGGGGUGAUGGCCUACCAAGGCGGCGACGGGUAGCCGGCCUGAGAGGGUGACCGGCCACACUGGGACUGAGAUACGGCCCAGACUCCUACGGGAGGCAGCAGUGGGGAAUAUUGCACAAUGGGCGCAAGCCUGAUGCAGCGACGCCGCGUGAGGGAUGACGGCCUUCGGGUUGUAAACCUCUUUCAGCACCGACGAAGCGCAAGUGACGGUAGGUGCAGAAGAAGGACCGGCCAACUACGUGCCAGCCGCCGCAGUAA